rnacentral:rRNA from 1 species
CACGGUGAGUAACACGUAUGCAAUCCACCUGUAACAGGGGGAGUAACCCGGAGAAAUCCGGACUAAUACCCCAUAAUAUGGGCGCUCCGCAUGGAGAGUCCAUUAAAGAGAGCAAUCUUGGUUACAGACGAGCAUGCGCUCCAUUAGCCAGUUGGCGGGGUAACGGCCCACCAAGGCGACGAUGGAUAGGGGUUCUGAGAGGAAGGUCCCCCACAUUGGAACUGAGACACGGUCCAA